CCUACGGGCGGCAGCAGUGAGGAAUAUUGGUCAAUGGACGAAAGUCUGAACCAGCCAAGCCGCGUGCAGGAUGACGGCUCUAUGGGUUGUAAACUUCUUUUGUACAAGGAUAAACCUAAACACGUGUACCUUUUUGCAUGUACUUUAUGAAUAAGGAUCGGCUAACUCCGUGCCAGCAGCCGCGGUAAUACGGAGGAUCCGAGCGUUAUCCGGAUUUAUUGGGUUUAAAGGGAGCGUAGACGGGUUGUUAAGUCAGUUGUGAAAGUUUGGGGCUUAACCCUAAAACUGCAAUUGAUACUGGUAGUCUUGAGUACAGUUGCGGUAGGCGGAAUGUGUGGUGUAGCGGUGAAAUGCUUAGAGAUCACGCAGAACCCCGAUUGCGAAGGCAGCUUACCAAACUGUGACUGACAUUGAGGCUCGAAAGCGUGGGGAGCAAACAGGAUUAGAUACCCCGGUAGUC
rnacentral:rRNA from 1 species